rfam:Escherichia coli O157:H7 str. Sakai DNA, complete genome.
AGUUUGCACUCAUCGGGGAAGGGUGAGAACCUUCGACUAAGGUUCGACUCGAGCGAAAGCGAGAGAACGUUUUCACAGGCAACGGCCCGAAGGGUGAGGAGCGAAGCGACGAAUAAUCCUUUCCCCACCGCCA